rnacentral:tRNA from 1 species
GCGGAUGUAGCUCAGUGGUAGAGCAUCGGCUUCCCAAGCCGAGGG